CCUCGCUCUUUCGUCCCUAACUUCAAUAGUUUGAAAUCCAUCUUUAAUCGGGCUGCUUUGCGGCGUUCUGUGCACCUGUCUGCCUUGCGUUUCCCAACUUACAUAUUGCCCUUUGCACCCAUUCCCUCACAUCGUGAGCUUCUAGAGGUGAGUCUUGUGUGGGGUCAGGUCCGCAAAGUAUAGAAUUUUUUCCCGGGCUGAUCAUAU